UACGUAGGGUGCGAGCGUUGUCCGGAAUCACUGGGCGUAAAGGGCGCGUAGGCGGCUUGAUAAGGUUGCGGUGAAAGCCCGGGGCUCAACCCCGGGUCGGCCGUGGCAACUGUCGAGCUGGAGCACUGUAGAGGCAGGUGGAAUUCCGGGUGUAGCGGUGGAAUGCGUAGAGAUCCGGAAGAACACCGGUGGCGAAGGCGGCCUGCUGGGCAGUGGCUGACGCUGAGGCGCGACAGCGUGGGGAGCAAACAGG
rnacentral:rRNA from 1 species